ACCCGCUGAACUUAAGCAUAUCAAUAAGCGGAGGAAAAGAAACCAACAGGGAUUGCCCCAGUAACGGCGAGUGAAGCGGCAACAGCUCAAAUUUGAAAUCUGGCCCUCGGGUCCGAGUUGUAAUUUGUAGAGGAUGCUUUUGGCGCGGUGCCUUCCGAGUUCCCUGGAACGGGACGCCAUAGAGGGUGAGAGCCCCGUCUGGUUGGAUGCCAAGCCUCUGUAAAGCUCCUUCGACGAGUCGAGUAGUUUGGGAAUGCUGCUCUAAAUGGGAGGUAUAUGUCUUCUAAAGCUAAAUACCGGCCAGAGACCGAUAGCGCACAAGUAGAGUGAUCGAAAGAUGAAAAGCACUUUGAAAAGAGGGUUAAAUAGUACGUGAAAUUGUUGAAAGGGAAGCGUUUAUGACCAGACUUGGGCCUGGCUGAUCAUCCGGUGUUCUCACCGGUGCACUCUGCCGGCUCAGGCCAGCAUCAGUUCGUAGCGGGGGAUAAAGGCGGCGGGAACGUGGCUCCCUCGGGAGUGUUAUAGCCCGCCGUGUAAUACCCUGCGUCGGACUGAGGUUCGCGCUUCUGCAAGGAUGCUGGCGUAAUGGUCAUCAACGACCCGUCUUGAAACACGGACCAAGGAGUCGUCUUCGUAUGCGAGUGUUCGGGUGUCAAACCCCUACGCGUAAUGAAAGUGAACGCAGGUGAGAGCUUCGGCGCAUCAUCGACCGAUCCUGAUGUUCUCGGAUGGAUUUGAGUAAGAGCAUACGGGGCCGGACCCGAAAGAAGGUGAACUAUGCCUGUAUAGGGUGAAGCCAGAGGAAACUCUGGUGGAGGCUCGCAGCGGUUCUGACGUGCAAAUCGAUCGUCAAAUAUGGGCAUGGGGGCG
rnacentral:rRNA from 1 species